UGCAAUUUCAAAGAAACUUUUAUGUAAAUUUAGUGACAUUCUGACAUUGACACAAAUUUACAUGUAGCACAUUUUAUCUACUGAAAUAAAAGUACCAGGUAACAAAAAUAUGUAUAUUGUAGAAUAUAUUGACAAUGUCGGGUUUCUAAUCUAAUAGGUGAAUUAACAGGGAUAUUUGACAGAAUAAAAACCCACAUUACAACAACUAGCAAAGCCUGGCUCUUCUGAGAAAAUAAAUGUACAAAUAAAAACAAACAACAACAUACAACACAUGGUCCAGAUACCUUGACUUGGUACUCAAACAAAAUGUGGUGGGGUUUUGUUUGGUUCUGCUCCAUUGAUUUUUGCCUAAAUUACUGGCUCUGGACUUUGAAAAUUUUGUUAAAAUAACAGUUAUACUAACUUUUUUUCUAAAUGCCUUCAGAUAUUGAGCUGAUUUUUGUAUGUGAGUCUACUAUGGUGAGUUACAGAUCGAGUUUAUGUUUGGUUCCACUCUGACUCUGCUGAUUUUUGCAGAAAUUACAGGCUUUGGAUGUUGAAAAUUUUGUGAAAAUAAGAGUUAUACAGACUUUUUAGCUCACCUGGCCCAAAGGGCCUAAUUAGCUUUUCUCAUCACUUGGUGUACGUUGUCAGUCAGCAUCCGUUAAUUUUUACAAAAAUCUUCUCUGAAACUAGUGGGCCAAUUAGAACCAAACUUGGCCACAAUCAUCAUUUGGGUAUCUAGUUUAAAAAUGUGUUUGAUGACCCCGUCUGCCGACCAACAAAAAAUUUUGCGGUCGUAUAUUGGUAUGACAUUAACGUCGUCAUUGUCUUCCGAAGACAUAUUAGUUUUCACACUCUAACUUUAGUUUAAGUGAAUGGAUCUCUAUGAAAUUUUACCAUAAAGUUCAGUACCACAAAAGGAAGGUUGGGAUUGAUUUUGGGGGUUAUGGUACCAACAGUUAAGGAAUUAGGGGCCAAAAAAAAGCAUUUUUGUAACUUCCAGACAUAACUUGUGUGUUAGUGUAUGGAUCUCCCUGACAUUGUACCACAAGGUUCCAUAUCACAAAGGGAAGACUGGGAUUGAUUUUGUGGGUAAUUGCCUCAAAAUUUUAGGAAUUAGGGGCCAAAAAGGGGCAAAAAACAAGCAUUUUUCUAGUUUCAUGACAAUAACUUGUGUGUAAGUGUAUGGAUCUUUCUGAAAUUGUACUACAAGGUUCCAUAUCACAAAGGGAAAGCUGGAAUUGAGUUUAGGGGAAAUUGCCCAAAACGUUUAGGAAUAAGGGGCCAAAAAGGGGCUAAAAAUAAGCAUUUUUUCUAGUUUCCAGACAAUAACUUGUGUUCAAGUGUAUGGAUCUCUCUGAAAUUGUACUGCAAGAUACCAUACCACAAAGUAAAGCCUGGGAUUGAGUUUGGGGGUGAUGAAUCAUAAGGGGGUUCAAAGAAUUGGGGGGGGGGAUUUUUUUUCCUUUUUUCCUUUUUUUUCUUUAAAAUUUUCCAUUUUAAAUUGGUUAUUUCUGAUUUAUAUAUAAAAGCAAAUAAUAAUGAUAUGGUUUGAAUAGGUAAAUUAAAAUUUUUUAAGUUCUUAGACCACAUUCAUUCUGUGUCAGAAACCUAUGCUGUAUCAAAUAUUUAAUCACAAUCCAAAUUCAGAGGUGUAUCAAGCUUGAAUGUUGUGUCCAUACUUGCCCCAACUGUUCAGGGUUAGACCUCUGCGGUCGUAUCAAGCUGCGCCCCAGCGGAGCAUUUUAUUUAAAAUUUAUAACUAAUACACUCAUGUCUUUUUAGGUAGACAAAUUGCUUAGAUGGUUUGCUGUUGGAACAUUUUUAUUAGAAGAAAUAUAUUAGGUUAAUUCGUGACAAUACAGUAUGUUAUCAAACUCGCCUGAUGACAUGGUCUUUAAAAAAUCAGAUUGUUAUCACUAAUUAUACUGAAGUAAGCUGAGACUAUUUUAGAUUAAUCACUAAUGAAACUGAACACUUAAGGAUGUUUUCCUCUGACUAGAAAUAGACUAUUGUAUAUAUUGCUUGAAAUACAACUACUGAAAAUUUUACAAAUCAUUAAGUGUAAUAUUUUUUGAAAUUAUGGAUGGAGUAAUGACAAACAAAAGAAGGAAUGUGGUAUGCUUGAUCCUUUUGGAUUACACAUGUUUUUUUGAAAUUCAAUACCUUUUCUCUUCCUCAUCUCCUCAAAGGCAACAGCCUUUUAGAUUGAUGAGAAUAUAAAAAUUGUAUUGAGUUUCGAAAAACAUAAAUAUUCCCUUUAUUGCUAAUUUCCUAGGUUCCCUUUAUUGCUAAUUUCCUAGGCAACAUCAAUGAUGUAUGGCUUUAAUAUGAUGUCUUUGCUUGCUCUUUCCACACAACUGAGAAAAACUCAUCUCAUUCGAGUAUCUUGAGAUGAAAAAUUAUAAUAGGAAAAUUUUAGAAAAUAGCAAUAGAAGAAUUUAAAGGGUAUAAUUCAUCGCCUCUAGCUGUACAACUAUUUGAUUAUAGAUUGUUUGAUCCAGAAGAGGACAGUAUUGUUUCUGUUUUUAUUCCUAGUAUUACAUUUGACCAUGUAAGAGCGAUGAAGAAUUUGAAGUUUAUAAACCGAGUUAUUUAAUUUAGAGUUUUUGUUACUAACAAAGAUAGAUAUAUAUAUAUAGCAUAAUGUUUGGAGAGGACAACAUUGAGGUAACUGUGAUCAAACAAAAUAGUUCUAUGUAUAGAUUAAGUAUUUAUUAAGUUUUAUAAAAAGUAUUUUAUAAUUUUUUAUUACAAAAAUGAUUUAACAUGAGAAACUGUGAUGCACUUGAUAAUGAAAAACAGUUAUUGUAGAUGAUUAAUAUAUUGACAUUUUAUUUUUCAUUUUUUAAAUGUACCAGUUUUUUAGGAAAUUUGUUUCAUAUGAUUAACAAAAAUAUCGAUUUAUCCUAUGAAAGAACUUUGAUAAUUUGAAAAGUACAAAUUUAGAGUUCUUUUUAAAAAAUCAAAAGUAUUUAUCAUUUAAACUGAUUGAAGGAAAGAAUAGUGACAUCUUCAGACAGAAAUGACAAUGAAACCGGAAUGUAUGAUCCAAUUUUAAAGCGAAGCUUAUCAAAUUGUAAAACACUUAUUUAAAAAUGAAUAGUAAGUCAUUUUAAAAUAGCUGAGUUGUGCUUUUGUAUAUCUAAUUUUUAAUGCUGGCAUAAUGUAUAAAAAAAUGAAAAGUAAAACAUGCAUACAAUUAUUACGCAAAUGUUAGCUGCAAAAAAUGAUAUUGUGUAGUAAAAUUGAAUUCUAGGUGUUAAGUUAUUAUUGCCUAGUGAUUAUUAUUGCAACAUGUAGUAAACAAUGUAUAUGUAUAAGAUACUAAUUAUAAGUCACUGUACAGUAACCUAUAGUUGCUUAAAACAACUUCAUUUGGAUUCUGUUGGAUAGUUAUUUCAAAAGCAAUCAUACCACAUCUCUUAUUUUUAUAAAAAGAAGGUAAAGGCAUUUUUUUUUUGCAAUGAAGCACAAUAGAUGAAAGACUUGAUAUUCAUAUCAUGAUUUAUUGACAGGUAGAUUGAGAUAUUUCACAAAAUGAUACAGAGGGUAUUAUAGUUGUUUUAUUACAAAAAAACUAUUUUUUUUUGGAAUAAAUAUGUUAAUAUAUUGAUGCUGAAAUGAUUAUAUAAAGCCUUUCUUAUACUUUUCAUACCAAAACUACUUGUAUAUAUUGCCAUAGUUGAUAGUAAUAUUAAUGUUAUUUAUGUCUGGUUUUUCUUUAGUGAAGAUAUUGAUGGUAUAACCAUUGGCAGUUGGAACAUGAUAUUACAAUAUGUCUAAGCUACAAGGGAACUAACUAUUUAGGUGUUUGUACCAAAGAGAAAACUUUGUAAUAUACAAUCUUUGAAGUCUCUCUAUUUUUUUUACGCAUGUCAUCAAUUUGUCUUUUUCAGCAUUGAAAUUAGAAAAAAGCUUCAACUUUUACUUCUAUCUUUCAAAACAAAAUGUUUUAAAUGCAGAAAUAGUAGAAAGAAUGCAGUUACAGCAAAGAAACAGCAAAAGAUUAGCUUACGAACAAAAUAUUAGAGCUUUUAGCAAAUUGAAAGUGGUUUUUAUUAUGUAGUUGCUAAUGAGAUUGCUUAUAUUUACAUGAAAUAAUUUUGAAUUUUUUAAAUAACAUAUGUAUAUUAUAACAUUCCAUAAGUCAUCAAAGUGCCUAUACCUUUUCAUGUAUUUUACAUUAUUAUAUUUUUAACAAUAAGAAAAUACCUAGGGGAAAAUGCGAUCAUUAGUAAACAAAGGACAUACAGCAUCAUGGCAAAAAAAAAUAAUUAUAAUGAAAAGACAAUCACCAGUACACAGACUACGCAGAAAAUUCAAGAUUGAGUCAAAUGAACCUCACCUUAAACUGGAGGUGAAAUACGUUUUUUAAGUAUCAAACCAUAGAGCAUUUUUUAAAGAUGAAUGCAGCCUUUGAUAACUGAGAUGACGUUAUUCUUCAAAACAUAUUACUAGUUUGAACAGAUUAAAAAUUAAUUUUUAAAUGUAAUUGAUUUAUGAUAGUUAAGACAGAACUGCAUCAGUCUACAGUGCACACUACACACUUCUUCCACUAUGCUUGAUAUAUUUGUACAGCUACUCACUAUAUGUCAAUCACUAUCCCCACAUACAAUCUGUUAAUACUAAUUAAAUGUUUUGAAAAUGGCAUUCUCAUCAAAUGAAGUUAUAGAGUUGUCUGACUAAUUAUUUUUGUAUGUUAAUUGAUUUUAAAAGAUCCUAAUAUUGUCUGAAUUACUGAUAAAUGUAAGUUGUAUUACUGUUUUACAACUUGAGUCAUAUUAUUAUAUUUUCCAUGAUACUCAAUAUAAGCAUUGGUUAUGCUUCAAAUCUGUUAAUAAAACAUGCAUUGUCUUA